rnacentral:lncRNA from 1 species
AGAACCUGGGCCGAGAGCUGCGGAACACGCUCAAGGAUGUGCCGGCCAGCUUUGCCCCCGCCUGCCUCUCCCACGAGAUCAUCAUCCGAAGCCACUGGACGGACGUCCAGGUCAAGGGGACCUCGCUGCCCCGGGCACUGCACUGCUGGGACAGGAGCCUCCACGACAGCCACAAGGCCAGCAAGGCCCCCCUGAAGGGCUGCCCCGUCCACCUGGUGGACAGCUGCCCCUGGCCCCACUGCAACCCCUCCUGCCCCACCAUCCGGGACCAGCUCACGGGGCAGGAGAUGAACGUGGCCCAGUUCCUCAUGCACAUGGGCUUCGACGUGCAGACGGUGGCCCAGCAGCAGGGCCUGGAGCCCAGUAAACUGCUGGGGAUGCUGAGCAGCGGGAGCUAGGGCCUCCCCAGGCCCCUCCCCUCCAGGCCCUCCUGCCCUCCCAGGACCACAGGCUCUGGCUGUCCCCCCCACCCCCGGGUCUGGAUGGCCUCCCGGCAGCCCUCACCGCCUCUCUGCCCCGGCCUCCCAGAGGCCCAGCCGGAGACCCAGCUGUGGCCCUGGGACCCUCCCCCCGCCCCUCCUCCUCUGCCUCCAGCCCGUGGUGGGAGCCAGAAGCACUGGACUCCUCAGCCCCCGGCCCGGCUCCCGGCCUCCCCUGCCCUUUUGUAUUAUUUUAUAAAGUGACUUUUUUAUUACUUUAAUUUUUUAAAAAAGAAAAUUAAGCAAGAAAUAUAUGGUGAAUGA